GGGUUACGUUGGUUUGCGUGGUUGUUCGAGAGGCGGUGAAGUGAAGUGAAAGGAGGGUGAACCGCCGGUAGAUGGAGGUUAUUGUGGUGGUCGUCGACGAGGGUUUGAGCGAAGUGGUUGUGGUUAUGGUGGCGAGAGGAGAAAACAGCGAUUGAAGGUUAAUGGAGAAGGUGGAUGACGGUGAAGCUUUGUGGCUUUCGUGGAGGAAGAUGAGAAGAAGCUUUUUCUUUCUCUUUUUCGUUUCUGUUUUCAUAAUGUGUUUUU
rnacentral:lncRNA from 1 species